AUGUGGACUCUAAAACCAGUACAUAGUGUUUACAUAAGGUCAAGAGCCCAAAUAAAUUCUGCUUGGAUUUCUCCCCCAAGUUCAGUCUGCCAAUCUCUAAUAGCUGCUGUUAUAGGUACUGAAAUCAAGGAAAUUCCUGAGGUUGAUUGUAGCUCAAACUUUAAAGAAAAAAAAAUUAUAAAGCAACCCAACUCCACUGAGUUCACUAUCAAGAGAGAAAGAAGAGCUGGUAAAUCACAGAGGUUCACCUCAAUAAAGAGUGCUGUUUGGAAGUUCAGCUAAAAUACAAGUCAAAGUUGCAGUGCCAAGUGGACAGCAAUCACUCAUACACUAGCAUAUACAGUAUAGGUAGAUAGGUCUUUUUCAGUUUCUUAUAAGAUUUUUACAAUUUCUUGCUUUAGUAGCUAAAAUCUGACACACUUGUUCAGUCCCUGAUCAAUUUUUUUUAAGUUGGGAAAAUGGUUCGGAUGUUUUCAAUUACAAAUAGUGUGGGAAAUAAGCUAUUUUUCUAUUUUAAAAAUGCAGCUUUAAAAAAAACAGCAGCUCUGGCACCUCAGUGGGAGAUGAAAGAAACUUAAAAUUUGACAGGGACAUCGUGCCAAAUGGCAAAUUUGCCUUUCACGGAUACGAUUCAAAUCAGCUCUGAGUUGCCAGAGGGAUAAGGGUUAAAAAAACAACUCCAUUCUUCACAAUUACACACUGACUUUUAUUAUACAAAUAACACUCUGACACCAUACAAAUGGCUCCACGCAUGUAUUCAGUCAUGUGGUGAAUGAGGAAGGAUCCUGGAUAAACAGUAUGUGAUCAUAUAGUCAAAGGAGGACCCUGCUAGGUUAAUUGGGCCACUUCCUGCUUUUGAGGUCACUUCACUAACCUGUAAGACAGCUUUAGAUAAAUCUUUUUCAAUAUGUCACAUCACCAGCUGGGAGAGGACUGUUGUCCUGCCUCUAACCUUGUGGGGCACCUAGGCGAGCUCAGAGCUCCACUGUGCCAAUCCAUGCCCACGGGCUCUCACUGACCUGCACUCCCAGGGCCCCCUGAGCCCUGGAGAGGGUACACGGGAAGGCAGUGAUGCUGUUGGGGAGUGGUGCUGAAAUUCACUGCUCACAGGGAGCAGUGACUAGCACACCUCAUCCCCUUGUAGGGCUUCUGGGGUCACCCCUGCCCCUAAAACCUGCUCCCCCUAGCACCACUGCUCCCCCAUAGACCCUUCAACACAGCACCCCUGCCCCACUCCUAGCACCCCUACAGUCCCCAGCACCCUAGCUCCUCCCCAAGCACC
rnacentral:lncRNA from 1 species